UACGUAGGGUGCAAGCGUUGUCCGGAAUUAUUGGGCGUAAAGAGCUCGUAGGCGGUCUGUCGCGUCUGCUGUGAAAAACCUAGGGGCUUAACUCUGGGGCGUGCAGUGGGGUACGGGCAGGCUAGAGUGCGGUAGGGGGAGACUGGAAUUCCUGGUGUAGCGGUGAAAUGCGCAGAUAUCAGGAGGAACACCGGUGGCGAAGGCGGGUCUCUGGGCCGGUAACUGACGCUGAGGAGCGAAAGCAUGGGGAG
rnacentral:rRNA from 1 species